CUGGCUUUUCUAGACCGGUUCCUGCCAAACCAGGGCAGGGAGCGUGAAGAGAGCCAAGAGGUACGGGACAGAGGACGGCGCGAACCUCGAUGGUCUUUCCUCUCUGCCCGCUGCACCUACCCCCAGCUCCCGACGCGGCUAGGUGCCCGGAGCAGUGGCAGACGGAACCCCACGACUCUUGGCCUGAGCCCCUGCUAAAACGAGAGGGCGAGCAUCCAGCCCCAGCCUGAGAGUCUCGCUCUCACCGACGGCCCCCAGACGCCCGGAUCCACCCAUGGCUUGAAGGUGUUUAACCAACUGGGGGGCCACGUUCCAGCCGCCCGGGUAGCCAAUUGAUUGCUGCGGUUUCAGGCUCCGUGUAGGCUCCGGGAAUCUCCCCCUCCUGCUGGCCUGACUGACCCUUCCCAUCCAAAGAAAGCAAAUCAUCCAAGAGGAGGGAGAAGGGGAGGAGGAGGAGGAGGAGGAAGAGGAGAAGCAGCAGCAGCUGUCUUGGCCUGACUCUGGGGAUCCUCCUCCACAAGUCUGCUAGGCUCAAGCCUGGGUAGAAUGAGGCCUGCAGAGGCUCAGGGAGAGGCAUGCCUGGCCCCAGCCAAAUCGGGAGCAGGAGGAGUGACACAUCUGGCUUGGGACACUGGCAGCUUUCCGGUCAACAUGUUCUCCGAAGAAUGUCGCUUUUCAUUCCCGUCCUGGCUGAGUGCUGCCCCGGGGAUGCUCAGAGCUGGCCGUGCUGGCCCGGAACCAGAGUAUCGACCCUUCUCAAUCAAUCCAUCAAUGGUACUUAAUGAGCGCUUGCUAUGUGCAGAGCACUGUACUAAACGCUUGGGAGCGUACAAUGCAAAAGAAUUAGCGACACGUUCCCUGUCUAUAGUGAGUUUAUCCCAGCAGCACGGGGCUCAAAGGAGAAGAACGCGGGAUGUGAAUGAGGGUUCUUCCCCAAACCUCCCUGGGAUCGACGGCCAGAGAGAUGAUCACGCUGUUGGAGCCAGUGGGAGGCAGUGUGGCCUAGUGGAUAAAGUAUCGACC